ACAAAGAUUCGAUGAAUAAUCGAGGAGAGGAGAGAUCGAUCCAAUUAUUUCGAUCCUAGAAUGAAACGAUAUCGCGCGCGUACAGUUGUAUUCAACGGCAUGUAUACCCGUCUCGAGCAUCGCGGGGUAUAAAUUGUGAGCGUGGACGAUCGAAGACACGCACAACCACCGCGUUCGGUAUGCGGUGGUGCCAUAUGUACGUGUCGUGGAAUUCUCGAGGCGAGGCGCGCCGAUCGUGAAAUUUUCGAAGGGAGUGGGAAUGGAAGAAGAAUUGGGCGGUGGUUUCCAACGACGUUGGACGUGGAUCGUGGGGGCUCGGGGUGAACUGCGGGGUGACGCCCUGAUGAUCGGGACCAGAGGCACCUAUCGCGCCAUCUUCGAGGAGAUAAAGAGAAUUCCCAAACCACGAGUUGAUCGUGCAGGAAUCAGUGUUGUAAGAAGUGUUUAAUAUCGAUCAUCGAAAACUGUAUCACGAUGUAAUUCGUGUCGGUUAAAAAAUUAACAGAGAAAGGGCAUGUUUGUCGUUAACACGUUUUACGAGGGUGAUCUACUUGGUCGCAGAUGCGCGGGGAAUUCGGCCGUCGUCCGGAAUCUCUCGUCUCGAGCGAUAAAACGAAGCACAGCAAUCGAAGGGCGAGAAAAAGCAGGAGGACGAAGCGGUGGAGAAAGAUUGGCCCUAAAACGCCGACGAGGCACAGAUAAGAAACGAUCCCGUGACGUUUCGUCUGCCCGUAUCUCGCGGAUUACCGAUUCCUCUAAAUCUGGAAAUCUCGGAAGGUUGAAAAGUUUGCUUCCAGCUUUCGACGAGGACACAACGUUCGAAAUUUCGUCGCUUUGCCAACGAGUUAGAAUUCUUUUGACGGACGUAUGUUCAACUGUCAUUUUCACCGUCGAAGAGAAAGUGUAAUCUUCUUUGGACCCAAUGAAGUGAAUAAU